rnacentral:rRNA from 1 species
GACGAACGCUGGCGGCGUGCUUAACACAUGCAAGUCGAACGGAAAGGCCCUGCUUUUGUGGGGUGCUCGAGUGGCGAACGGGUGAGUAACACGUGAGUAACCUGCCCUUGACUUUGGGAUAACUUCAGGAAACUGGGGCUAAUACCGGAUAGGAGCUCCUGCUGCAUGGUGGGGGUUGGAAAGUUUCGGCGGUUGGGGAUGGACUCGCGGCUUAUCAGCUUGUUGGUGGGGUAGUGGCUUACCAAGGCUUUGACGGGUAGCCGGCCUGAGAGGGUGACCGGCCACAUUGGGACUGAGACACGGCCCAGACUCCUACGGGAGGCAGCAGUGGGGAAUAUUGCACAAUGGGCGGAAGCCUGAUGCAGCAACGCCGCGUGCGGGAUGACGGCCUUCGGGUUGUAAACCGCUUUCGCCUGUGACGAAGCGUGAGUGACGGUGAUGGGUAAAGAAGCACCGGCUAACUACGUGCCAGCAGCCGCGGUGAUACGUAGGGUGCGAGCGUUGUCCGGAUUUAUUGGGCGUAAAGGGCUCGUAGGUGGUUGAUCGCGUCGGAAGUGUAAUCUUGGGGCUUAACCCUGAGCGUGCUUUCGAUACGGGUUGACUUGAGGAAGGUAGGGGAGAAUGGAAUUCCUGGUGGAGCGGUGGAAUGCGCAGAUAUCAGGAGGAACACCAGUGGCGAAGGCGGUUCUCUGGGCCUUUCCUGACGCUGAGGAGCGAAAGCGUGGGGAGCGAACAGGCUUAGAUACCCUGGUAGUCCACGCUGUAAACGGUGGGUACUAGGUGUGGGGUCCAUUCCACGGGUUCCGUGCCGUAGCUAACGCUUUAAGUACCCCGCCUGGGGAGUACGGCCGCAAGGCUAAAACUCAAAGGAAUUGACGGGGCCCCGCACAAGCGGCGGAGCAUGCGGAUUAAUUCGAUGCAACGCGUAGAACCUUACCUGGGUUUGACAUGGAUCGGGAGUGCUCAGAGAUGGGUGUGCCUCUUUUGGGGUCGGUUCACAGGUGGUGCAUGGCUGUCGUCAGCUCGUGUCGUGAGAUGUUGGGUUAAGUCCCGCAACGAGCGCAACCCUUGUUCACUGUUGCCAGCACGUUAUGGUGGGGACUCAGUGGAGACCGCCGGGGUCAACUCGGAGGAAGGUGGGGAUGACGUCAAGUCAUCAUGCCCCUUAUGUCCAGGGCUUCACGCAUGCUGCAAUGGCUGGUACAGAGAGUGGCGAGCCUGUGAGGGUGAGCGAAUCUCGGAAAGCCGGUCUCAGUUCGGAUUGGGGUCUGCAACUCGACCUCAUGAAGUCGGAGUCGCUAGUAAUCGCAGAUCAGCAACGCUGCGGUGAAUACGUUCCCGGGGCU